rnacentral:tRNA from 1 species
UAUUAAGUGGCUGAAAUUUAAGCUAUGGUCUCUUAAACCAUUUUAUGGAAAUAUAUUCCCUUAAUAA